rnacentral:rRNA from 1 species
GACGAACGCUGGCGGCGUGCUUAACACAUGCAAGUCGAACGGUGAAGCGCCUCUUUUUUUGGUGGGUGUGGUGGAGUGGCGAACGGGUGCGUAACACUAGAGUAACCUGCCCUCUUCUACUGGAUAACCGCAUGAAAGCUAGGCCAAUACGGGAUAUUCUGCGUCUGUGGGAUGAUGGGACUGGGAAAGAUAUUGUGUCGGUGGGGGAGGGGCUCGCGGUCUAUCGGGUUGUUGGUGGGGUGCUGGCCUUCCAAGGCGGUGACGUGUAGCCGGCCUGGGAGGGUGGCCGGUCUCAGAGGGAGUGCGACACGACCCAGACUCAGACGGGACGCAGCCGUGGAGAGUAGUGAACAGUGGGCACAAGCCUGCAGCAGCGGCGCGGCGUGUGGGAUGGAGGCCUGCGGGUUAUGAACCUCUUUCGGCAGUGAAGCGCGCCUGCCUCGUUUGUGGGUGGGUUGACGGUAGCUGGAGAAGAAGCGCCGGCUAACUACGUG